rnacentral:sRNA from 1 species
GUGGGGUGUGGUGGCCCACGCCUGUCAUCCCAGUGGCUCGGGAGGCUGAGGCAGGAGGAUCGCGAGUUCAAAGCCAGACUCAGCAGCUCAGUGAGACCCUGUCUCUA